GAAAUACUGGAGAAACCCGGGAAAACGGGAGUGUUGGCAGAUCCAUCUCCAUGACAACUGAGAAAACGCCAUCCGCUGAUGAAGGCCAGGCUACUGUAAUUCAAAAGGACGGAGAGACUUUGUAUAAAAGGAGAAAAACUUCUAUUGAUGUCCUGCUGGUCGCCCAGAAGUGGUCAAUGAGGGUCACAGAUGACUUAACAGUCCUUUAGUGCCAGACUUGGCCUCCACCAUCACUGAACUGCAGCUGGAUUUGUGGAUUACCAUCGACUCAUCUCACAUGGCGGCCUGCUGAAUUAAUACUUAAUGAAUGCUUUUCCUCGCUGUUGCUAUUUAAUUAUCUUUUACACUCAGUAUAAACCAAACUCUGCACCAGAUGUCUGUCUGUUCCAUUUGUCUGGCAACUAAUGAGCACCAUUUGCCGGAAAGGUAUUUUAUAUUAUAGCUAACUCCUGGCUAGUUUGUUCAUUUACUUGUUAACACUGAAAAUUAUAAUGUUAAUGGAAUUGCUGAGUGCCACAUUUCUCACCUAAAACUUCUCCAAGAGAGACACUGCUGUAUUAUUCUGAGUAUGGAGCCAUUAUGUAAGUCCCAGAAAGUGUUCUCAACAUGUCCUGCCAUUUAAGGUGGAGUAAAAAGACUCAGACUCUG